rnacentral:lncRNA from 1 species
AAUUGGGGUUAGUCAGAAAUUUCGAAAAACUAAAAAGCAUUUUAAAAAAAGGAAAAACUUCAAAAACCUUCUUGCGGUUUCACACUUUCUCAUUUUAGUAUCCUGUGGUUUAAAGUAUAUCAAUUUGAUGUCCUGUGAUUUUAUUUUUUGAUUUUUAUUAUCAAUUUCACUGUUUUUUUCUUAACUAACGAUAAAGUUAAAAAUUAAAGGGUACUAAUAUGAAUAUUCGAUAAAUUUAUAUGGAUAUCUGAAGUUUUUUGUAUAUAAUUUAAUAAAAUAUUAACAAAAAAGCUGUCAAAAAGAGAAAAAUGAAACUAUAGGGCACAAAAUUGAGACACUUUAAACCAUAUGGUACUAAAGUGAGAAAGUGCGAAACCAUAUGAAUGGUUUUUAAAGUUUUUUUCUAAAAAUAAAAAAGAAUUUUAUAUAUAUAUAUAUAUAUAUAUAUAUAUAUAUAUAU